rnacentral:rRNA from 1 species
AACGAACGCUGGCGGCAUGCCUAACACAUGCAAGUCGAACGAGACCUUCGGGUCUAGUGGCGCACGGGUGCGUAACGCGUGGGAACCUGCCCUUAGGUUCGGAAUAACUCCCCGAAAGGGGUGCUAAUACCGGAUAAUGUCUUCGGACCAAAGAUUUAUCGCCUUUGGAUGGGCCCGCGUUGGAUUAGCUAGUUGGUAGGGUAAAAGCCUACCAAGGCGACGAUCCAUAGCUGGUCUGAGAGGAUGAUCAGCCACACUGGGAGUGAGACACGGCCCAGACUCCUACGGGAAGCAGCAGUGGGGAAUAUUGGACAAUGGGCGAAAGCCUGAUCCAGCAAUGCCGCGUGAGUGAUGAAGGCCUUAGGGUUGUAAAGCUCUUUUACCCGGGAUGAUAAUGACAGUACCGGGAGAAUAAGCUCCGGCUAACUCCGUG